ACCUGUCAUCUAAAUAUUCCUCACAAAUUUCGUUUGAGCGGCAAGACGUCCAUUCAGGCGGUGGAGUUGGUCGGUUACGUUGGAUAUUUCCGGUAACAUAAAUUGAAACAACGGCGGUGACGGAGUUAACUAUAAUUAUCAACGCUACAACCGCCUCUUUCUCACAAUCACCAAAACCCUUUAUCACUCUUCUUCUUCUUCUUCUUCUUCUUCUUCACUUACCAUUCCUGACAGAGGCCAGAGGUUAUUCAGAUAUUCCAACAAGGCGGUUCUUGCGGUUACUAAUCGAACAACUGCACUUGCCUACCUAUUGUUUGGUUUACUGUGAUCCAUAUGGCUUUGACUUUUUGACUACAUACUGAUUCUCUAGAACUUCCACCACUCUCUUGGGGGAAGAACCAUAAAUUUAUACAAUGGUUUUGAAAUCCCAAAUAUUCUCAGGUAGUGUGGCAGCAGCACCAACAUCAUCUAAAAAGAGCCAUGACGACUUGCGUGGGCGUGAGUCCAAACCGGUGAUGCCUGACGCAUCAGCACCAACUGCUCCCCACGGUCCACCGAUUGGUUCAGGCAUCAGACCAGUGCUUAUAUCAUCCUCAGUUUUAAACCAAUUACAUUGUUCGGUCUUUUGACUAAAUGCUAAGAAUUUAGCUUGCUCUUACCGAAUUGUAUGACACAACAAUUUGACCUCAAUGAGAAGAUGUGAGGGUUUUGGCUGGUAUUAGAGAAAGGGGAAAUAACAGUAAUACAAAUUUAAUUUGUAUUUACUUCAUCAUCGUGACAGGAAAAAAGAAAAAAAAGGGGAAACGACAGUUUGGUGGCUGGAAAUGGCUGGCUGAUAAAGUAAAAGGGGAAAGCUAAACGUCUCUAAAGUACAAUGCAUAUGUAGUAAGACAAGAUGCGCAACACUAGAGUCGAAAUAGGGAGCGACAGAAGAGACUAUAUUAGUCGGUGGCCAUACAGCUACAAACGGUUGUUGAAAGUGCAACUACAAGCAGCUAUUGAAGGUGCAUAUGCAAAUUUGGCAAAUGCCUUUGGAGUUGUACUCUCAUCAUAAAAUAAUUCACUCAUUGGUUCGUAAUCUUAGUUGGGAUAUACUUUUUUUACAUUUAUAAGUAACUUUUCUAUUUAUAUGAAUAACACAUGAUGUGUUGGUCUG